CCUACGGGAGGCAGCAGUGAGGAAUAUUGGUCAAUGGGCGCGAGCCUGAACCAGCCAAGUCGCGUGAGGGAGGACGGCCCUACGGGUUGUAAACCUCUUUUGCCGGGGAGCAACGGGCGUCACGUGUGGCGCCACUGAGAGUACCCGGAGAAAAAGCAUCGGCUAACUCCGUGCCAGCAGCCGCGGUAAUACGGAGGAUGCGAGCGUUAUCCGGAUUUAUUGGGUUUAAAGGGUGCGUAGGCGGAUCGUUAAGUCAGUGGUCACAUUGAGGGGCUCAACCCCUUCCCGCCAUUGAAACUGGCGAGCUUGAGUGGAAGAGAGGUAUGCAGAAUGCGUGGUGUAGCGGUGAAAUGCAUAGAUAUCACGCAGAACCCCGAUGGCGAAGGCAGCAUGCCGGCUUCCGACUGACGCUGAAGCACGAAAGCGUGGGGAUCGAACAGGAUUAGAUACCCCAGUAGUC
rnacentral:rRNA from 1 species